AUGUGGGGGGUGAAUUUAUCCACCAUUGUCAUAGAUGAAGCAUCCCAUAUUUUAAUAUCAUCUCCUGAUGAAGCAAAUCUGAGGUUUUCCUGCAUAACUGAGCCUCUCCGGUGUGGGACCACAGGGGGCCCAGCUCCAGCCACUACUAACUGCGCUUCCGGCUCCCCCUGGACUCCAGUGGAAACUUCUUGUCCCACCCCAUCUUACAGAACUUUUCUGAAGAGGAAGGAACUAAUGGACCUCAUUGUAUUAGGGUACCUGGAGCAGAAAGCACUGUAGAAUUUUAAGCUGGCUACACUUCACCCUGCGGUUAUCAAAUGAUGAAGAACUCUCUGGAGCAGCAAAGCGUGGCUAAGUAUGCAACAGCCUCAUUUGCUGAGUGACAUUUAGCCACGGGGGAUGCUCCGUGGGUGUGGCUGAUACAGUACUAAAGCUUGCUCAGUUGACCUGGGCAGGAGCACAGGCUGGAAUCUCUGCUGAGGACAGACACUCUCUGUUCCCAAGGCAGAACUUGAUCUCUGGAGGCUCUGAGGGAAAGACUAUUGCAGAACUGCCAGAAAACAUAAUAAUUGCUGUGAUUAUGAUUAUGAGCGCCUUAUAAUUGCUGCUCCAUCAUGCCAACUAUCUUGGGAAGAGAAGAGGAAGGCUUUAUGAAUAAAUGAUCACUUAAAUAUUUAAACA
rnacentral:lncRNA from 1 species